CAUAAUCACACGAAGAAAAAACAAAUCGUUCGGUCUAUUAUUGUUGGUGGAUUUGUUUUUGGUUGGUGUUUGACUCGCGUUUGUUUGGCGACACUUUGUCAGGUCAGACAAUUCGAGGUAAAGAGGUGAGGUGAGACUCGAUCAAAAUAGUUCACAUUCCUCGGAUCUGUCGCCUUCUCAAAUUAGUGAAAAGGUGUAAUUCGGACUUAGGUUUUCGAAAGGGAGUGUUUGUGACAAACAUGGAUAUUUCAACAAAAGAUUUAUUUGGCUUUUUGGGAUUCAAAUAGGAAAAACAAAUCUCCUGUCUCAAUUUUUGACGUUUAUGACAUUUUUAACAUGUAAGUCAAAUUUCUCGCUCUAGUGGGGGUGGAUUGACAUUUUUAUUGCCAACAGGCGUCGCUUCUCGGAUUUUGUGUCAACCAUGGCUCAACAUGAUAGAGCUUUAUUACACUUCAUCAACAGUUUCCCAAACGCGCAUAAAGCGGAGCUAAACAAGCACACCUCGUCAAUUGAUCCCGACAUCCAAUAGUGAUCGGCAAAAAUGAGGGCCCCUAGACGAUGGGAUCAUCAAUUUCGUACCGGUGCCAAUCCGAGAGCCAAGUAAAAUAUUAUUUGUAUGGCAGAAUUGGCGUUUUGGCUAAGCGAAUGGAGCGAUUUGGACCACCAAUGAAGUUUGUAAAGUAAACAAGUUGCUGUCGUUAAGUAAAUGGUUUGGAUUAGCGUGUGGUUUUUGCGAAACGACGACCACGAGAAUGAAGAUCGGCGGUGUGCCAAAUGUGCGCCAUAUAUUUUUGAGGUGAAAUUGUAGAUUUCCCGAGAGCUUAUGGCAAAUGCGAUGACCAAUCGAAUGGCUCAGAUUACCCAAUCAAGAAAACAAAUGGGGGAAUUUACAUUAACGUUCAGUAAGCAAACGAUGCAAAAAUAAAAAAUGAGCAAAUUGUUAAAAAUGAAUAAAAUUGACAAAUGUGAGGAAAAUGACAAAAUGGGAAAAAUAACAAGUUUUAGAUAUAGUUUUAUAUGUUAAUCACCUAAUUCUGUUUCCAAGACACUUCUCACGAACUUAGCUCCAAUAAUCUCAAUACGACGUCAAAAGAUGAAGCAUUAAUUGGUACCGAAACGAAACGAAAACAGUGUUAAGAAUUGGGAGGAGAAAAAUACCACUCAUCUCAAUCCUAUUCAAUAGAACAAGUUCCCCAUGGAGUCAAAAUCACAGAAACAGAACCACUCCAACGAUUUAUGUUCUCAGACUUCGACUUUGCCUUUCCUUUAUGAAUAUGGUGGUGCUGCCAUGCCACAAACCUUUGGUACGCCAUUCAAUUAAGAUCCGAGAGUGGAAAUUAACGAAACCAAAUAAAAGUAAAUUAAAACUGGAACGUAGUGUUGGUCCCUAUUCCAUAUGAAGAGACGAAAUUUGAAGAACAGGAACGUCGAAGUCGACUUUAAUUUGAAGCAUUUAGGAAAGAAUUGAUAAAAAAAAAAACAGUGAAAAGAUAUUUUGGCUUAUAAAAAAAGCGUUAGUUUGUUGAUUCGAGAUAAGGUCACAAGGCAUGUAACGCUUAGGCCAAACUAGGAAACUUAAAUAGCUAAAUACGUUUUUAAAUUAACUACAUACAUCUACUUAGGUGUUUAUACUUGGAGGUUGAAGUAAAUAUGUAUUAGGUUGGGAAAUUAACUAAGCAAAAAACAAUAAUGAUAUCAAUAAUCUACCAAUUCUGUAUUGAACGUUGCUGAUACAAUCUCUUCCCCCCUCUUCACCAGUUCAGCAGUGCCGGUCCUACAAAUACCACCUGUUCUGGAGCAAAGAUGUUUUUGAGUGAGCUUUUAUGGACCUUUUUUGCAGCACAUAACGCCACUUUGACAGGCUGCAAAAAUGUUGCUGAUAGGUCUGGAAACUUUUAGAUUGAUAUCUUCGACAAUAAGUGCAAGGGCUAUGCGAAGGCUCUAGGAGUAUAGUUUGACCACGUUCAGGCCUUUCAGUUGAGUAAUCUCAUUCGCCUGAUGUAGCUGGGUUAUGUGGAGCUCCCUGUUGACCAUGACGUUCUUUUCGAGCUAUUCCUAGAGCACCACGCCCUCCGAUCCGAAUAACGUUUUUAAAUAAAUUAAGAAGUCAAAAAAUCGAUGUUUUUAACUUUGUGAACCAUUUCCGUGAUGUAAAAUUACCUUUACCUAUAUCACGUGCCACCGAUUUCCCGAGCUGGUUUUGGUCCUCGAUAGAGAGCAUUGAAUAACAGUUGUCAAAAGCGUGAAUUUGUGCCUCACAAGAUUUAUUUUCCUAUACUUUCGACUUUUUUUUUCAAAACUAAUAAAAAAUAAUCCAUCUCAAAAAAUCAAACAUUACAGGUUUGUAGAACAGAUUAAAAUCUAUUUGCCGAAAAGUAAGCACAUCGGUGUAAAUAAAACAAAGUUAAAAAAAACGCUACGAGCUUAUUCCCAAAUCCAUUAAAUUGCAAGAAUAAUUACGAAUCGACGAGUGAAGACAGGUUCUAAGUUUUGUAUUCUGCUGUGAAGAACUUAAGACUGCGACGAUGAAAACAGAUGAAAUUUUAAGGAAAACAAGCUAGUAUUGUAAUGCUCACAUAUACGUGUAAUUUGGUGACAAUCUGUUGAGUGUUUUUAAUGAAGCUUCCAUACAAAACUGUAUGGACAAAAUUCUUGAGCGCGGUUGUUUCAAACCCAGGAACCAAGUACAAAGUCCAGCAAUUAAACUGCUACAUUAGACUGAGUCGACUUUGGGUCACUUUUGAUUUUCUCAUGGCCUGAGGUCUCUAAUGCUUCAUUAUGACUUCAAACUUACCCAUGAAUUUUUGAAAAAUUUUGAAGCAACGUUAAAAUGGGUAGACCUCAACAUUUUUGUUAAUAUGGAAAAAUUUAACAUUUUAACCUGAAAACCAGCAUGUGUUUUCUUUCUUCUGUGAAAACAAGCCUUUUUACGUUUUUUUGCCAAUCUAAAAAAGAAAUAAAAAAAAUUCUGCUGAAAACUGUUUCGAAGACCUCGAAAGACAAAUCUUUCAAGGAAGUUUGUCUGACGAAUUCAAGCUCUUUAAAAUAAUCGCAAAUUUAGCACUCCUACGCGACUCGUCACACUACAUUGUUGUUGUUGUUUUUAAACAUUUUAUUUAAAACGGCUCAUACCUUUAG